CGCCCCGCCGCCCCGCCGCCGCGCGAGCAGGAGGCCCGGCGAGUCGCGGCCGGCACCGAGGUCCCCCGCUCGCUCCCUCCCUCCACGCGUCACGGCCGAUAGACUGAUCCCGUCGCGGCCUCCCGCCGACGAGCGGCGCCUCCGUCCCGACUCGCGGAGUGCUCGGCGCCGAACUCGCUCGAUUCCUCGCAGCGACCAGGUGAUGAAAGCAUGGAGGCAAAUGUGGCGCAUGAUGAUGAUGUAGAGAUUGAAGAAGAAUACGUCCUGCUUGAUCUCGACUCCAUCCCUGAGCAGUUCGACAUCCCGGCCAAUGCGCCUUAUGUCUUGUCUGGUUUGGAUACGUUGAAUCCCAUAUUGGUCAUUGAUAACAAAUUGAAGCUGAUUGGGCAUUACGAGGAAACAAUAGGAACAUGUAUUGCUCUUACCGAAGAGGGUACUUCCUCCAUUGUUCCUGAAGAGACAGGACCAUCUGAAGCGAACAAAUCCUCUGGCAAAUCUAAUAUGGAUCCAAAUCAGUGUCCCAGCAAGCAAGUAAAACCAGUUGCCUGCAUCAAUAAGAUUCUCAAGUUUAAAUUAUUUGUAGAUACCAAUGUUCCUGACGCAAGUGCUCAGCCAUGAAUAAAUGUUUUCAUGUAGUCAUCAAUCACUUGGAAAAUUGGUUGUCUUGUGGAUACAUUGGGCUUCUAGAGAUAAAGAGAAGAAGAAGGGGGGGGUUUCUCUAGGACUCAGCAAUAACCAUAUUAUCAUCUGAAAUUAUCAGGGAAAACUCUUAGUCAGCUCUUCAUGUCCUUGUGGAUUUGUGUUUCUGGGGUGUAAUUGCUGGUGUAAAGCUCAAAGCUUUCUUCAUGAGCUUUUCAAAAUAAAGGACUCGCAUGCUUAAUGGGAUGAAUCAGUAGGUCCAACAAACCUUGAACUUUCCUUGUCAGGAUGAAUUGGAGAUUCAUUUUUAAACCCUCCAGAUGCUGCUCUUCUGUGGUAAUAACUACUAGAACCAAGACAACCUCUGCACGGAAUGUAGCCUCCAGGGCUAGAGACCCAACAUUCGAAAAACUCAUGGAGAAGUACAAAAACCUUCUUAAAGUGGUUGCAAUUCAAGACCUCUUCCUUGCUUCGAGCAACCCUUCAUCAUCAAUUUCAUUGGACUUCCUCAAUAGGCUCUCCCAGAAGCUCCGCUUGAAUCGUGGUGCUGCCUCCUUCAUCUGCAAAUACCCCCACAUCUUCCAAAUAUUUUAUGAUACUAAUAAGUCUCAAUCCUUUUGCAAAUUAACCAAUGCUGCCAUUGAAAUUGCCUUGGAAGCAAGUCAGGCAAUCAAAGCAUCAAUGCCCCUUGUUGUAGACCGAUUACUUCACCUUUUAUUAAUGACUCCAAAAAAGUCUUUGCCACUCCGCGCUGCUUUCAAGGUCUGGAGGGAGCUUGGUCUCCCAGAUGACUUUGAGGAUUCUGUUAUUUCUCGAAAUUCCAAUCUCUUUAGACAUUGUGAUGGUCAUGAACCAAAUACUUAUAUCUUGAAGUUGGCUGAUGUUGUUCCGGAAAAAAGUCAUCUCACAGCAGCAGUUGAGAAUUGGAGGGUUACUGAGUGUUGUAGGGAAGACAGUCAUGUUGAUAGAACAGAAAUUAGGUUCAGUUUCAAGCAUGGUUUUCCUCCGGCAAUGAGAUUGAGCAAGGACUUGAAAGCUAAGGUUCAGGAAUGGCAGAGAUUGCCCUAUGUGGGGCCAUAUGAAGGGAUAAGGGAAAAGAGAAAGUCUAAGGCUGCAAUCAUGGCAUUGGAAAAAUGAGCAGUUGCUAUUGUUCAUGAAUUCUUGAGUCUCACCAUGGAAAAGAUAAUUGAAGUGGACAAGAUUAGUCAUUUUAGAAAUUGGUUUGAAAUAGAUAUGAAUAUCAGGGACUUGUUCUUGGAUCAUCCUGGGAUAUUUUAUCUCUCAACCAAGGCGAAAACACACACCGUUUCCUCAGAGAAGCUUAUGAGAGAGGAUGACCCCAAUCCUGUUUAUGAGGCAAGGAGAAAGCUCCUUAAUUUAGUUCUGCUGGGACAUCAUGCAUUUUUUUCUAGUAGUCCAAUGAUAAGGGAUGCUGACCAGAGCAAAGUGGAUCAGUUUCGAGGAAAAGGAUGAGACUAAAGAAACACAAGUUUUGUUGUACUUUUGAUAGAUCCUCUCCAAGGAAGAGCUGCCUUGCUCUCAUCCUUUUGUUUUCCUGGUUUUAAGUUUAGAAAGAUAGAAAGGUAAAUAAGACAAUCUAUGAACUAUGGAAAAACGGCCAGCCGAUGAGGGUUGUCUAAGAGGUGGUUUUGUCCACAUUAAGUUUCAGAGAUUAAGAUAUUUGGGCAUUUCUGGAUUUGGCCUGAUAAACUCCAUUCAAUUCCAGUGCCCUAUCAUAUACAGUCUAGAUUCAUCUGGAGUAGCUUUUUGCUGAUGAUGUACAAUCUGGGCCUCUGUGUCAGUUCAAGCAAUCAAAUUCUAGAAUCUCAGAACUUGCCAAGUUGCUGUGGUCUGGUUACGAGGGAGUUCCGCUGUCUACCACAGCACCUAUUUUUGGAGCGGUAUCAGCUACUUCAGGUUAUUGACUUCCCAUGGCUCUCUCUGUCCUAUAUGUUACAAAGAAGACAGCCCUGAAACUUUUCAGUACUCGAAAUUGGACUCCUUUUCUCGUGUUUCUAUUGCUUUCUUUUAACCAUAGUACCAUGACAGCGCAUCGUGUGGGCUGCUGGCCCACUUAUCGCCAUUACAAGAUUGGAGAAAUUGAAUGGUGUUUGAGCUCAACGAUUGAUCUUGAGGAGCUAGUGCAUGUCAAGUAAAUGGCAUUUUCUCCUUUUCUACAA